UCGUAAAAAUGCCUCCGUUUUUCCAGAACAUUUUUCCAGAGAUUCCUGCAGGCUCGGGGAGGAGGGGCUUGGCGUGAGAAGAAGAGAAGUAUUGAGCUGCCCACUUUAUGGUCAAACAAACUGCAGCAUCUUCUGGGAGAAUGACUUGCCUGACCACACAGCUGGCUGGGAGCAGCUCGCCAGGCUGAGCCCAUCACCGGAGACUGAGUCACGACCCCCAUCUCCCAACCUCAGCCAGACAUGGGAGGGACAGGGAGGUGGCCUUUAGAGGCAAAUAUCCAGGGGUAAGAACUCGGGCUUGGGAGUCAUGGAGUCCUGGACACGAAGCCCAGCUUGUGCCCUUCUGCAGGCUGACUUUCCCCAGUCUCAGCCUCAUGGUCCACAAAAUGGAAAAUAACUGUAGCCCCCCCUAGCCCUAACCCUCAUAGGAUUGCUGCAACGAGAACAAGGGCAGAGGGUGCUUUACGCUGAGGAAUGUGAUGAGCCAGGGCCAGAUGGGGCGACCUUUGAGAGAGAGCUUCUGCUUCUCUGCCUGUGGCCUAUCAGCGACAGUCACCACGGGAGCAGGAAGAGAUGGCCCUCCCUUCAGGAGGAUCUGAACCCCUGCUGGACACCACUUCCUGUCAGCCUUAUGUCCGGCACCACCAUGAUGCCUGCUGACUGCUUGGAAAAACCAAAGUGGGAAAAAAUCCUGCUAACACUGGUGGGCAGCAAGAUGCAAUUUACAGGACUGGUUCUGUACACAGUUAGUCUUCUUGUAAUGAUUAGUGACUACUAUUGACUGAGCGCUCCUUCUGCAACAGGUAUUUUACAUUUAAUAGCUUGCCUAAUCCUCAUGAUCCUGAAAAAUUAGCAGUAUUAUCACCCCGUGUUGGUCAAGUUCAGUGUAAGAAACAGAAGUCACUCUAAGUAUUUCAAGCAAAAGAGGAUUUUCAUAGAGGGAAUCAAAUGUUUAUAAGAUUGUGGUUAGGGCUGGAGGAGCAUGUGCAGGGGGGUGACAAUGAGCAGUUGGAUAUGUGGACACAUCACACAGCUGAGCUAUCAGGAAGCUGCUGUAGCUGCCACCAGAGCUACUGUCACGACUACUUCUCCCACCCUUGAAGCUAGUGACCAUCUUCCUUGGCUGCCUCUAAACUCACCACAACCAAGUUUACCAGCAACCUCAGAGGGAGGAAGAAGGUGUCCCUCAGUUCUGCCUUAUAGACCUCUCACAAGAACCAUGACUAGUGGAAUUUAUUUCCAGCCAGAGCCCUAGCUGCAAGGGAGUCUGGAAAGCUUUCCAGGCUGCCCAAGGAAGGAGAGUAGAAGUGAGAAUUAGAAGACCUUGCAGCCCCAUUUUUCAUUUGAGUCCAGAGAGAUUAAGUCAUUUGCUCAGGAUCAUCCAGUUGGUAGUGGAGCCAUUACUUGAGCCCAAGUUUGUAGGACUCUGAAGCCUGAUCUUCCCAUUGCUUUCCAGAGAAUUUAGGAGAAAAAGCGUACUACAUGUUCUAAGCAUUCCUUUUAAUUAUAAUUAUAUUGGAUGGUUAUUAUUUGAUCUGAUUAAA
rnacentral:lncRNA from 10 species